UGCGUAGGUGGUUUGUUAAGUCUGAUGUGAAAGCCCUGGGCUCAACCUGGGAAUGGCACUGGAUACUGGCAAGCUAGAGUGUGGCAGAGGGUAGUGGAAUUCCUGGUGUAGCAGUGAAAUGCGUAGAGAUCAGGAGGAACAUCCGUGGCGAAGGCGACUGCCUGGGCCAACACUGACACUGAGGCACGAAAAGCGUGGGGAGCAAACA
rnacentral:rRNA from 1 species